GAUGAACGCUGGCGGCGUGCCUAAUACAUGCAAGUCGAGCGAACGGACGAGAAUCGGGCGUUUCUGAUGUUAGCGGCGGACGGGUGAGUAACACGUGGAUAACCUACGUAUAAGACUGGGAUAAAUUCGGGAAACCGGAGCUAAUACCGGAUAAUAUUUUGAACCGCAUGGGUCAAAAGUGAAAGACGGUCUUGCUGUCACUUAGAGAUGGAUCCGCGCUGCAUUAGCUAGUUGGUAAGGUAACGGCUUACCAAGGCAACGAUGGAUAGCCGACGCGAGAGGGUGAUCGCCCCCACUGGAACUGAGACACGGUCCAGACUCCUACGGGCGGCAGCGGCAGCGAAUCUUCGGAAAUGGGCGAAAGCCUGACGGAGCAAUGCCGCGUGAGUGAUGCAGGUCUUCGGAUCGUAAAACUCUGUUCUUAGGGAAGACCAUAUGUGUAAGUAACUGUGCACAUCUUGACGGUACCUAAUAAGAAAGCCCCGGCUAACUACGUG
rnacentral:rRNA from 1 species